rnacentral:rRNA from 1 species
AGUGAACGCUGGCGGUAGGCCUAACACAUGCAGGUCGAACGGCAGCACAGUAAGAGCUUGCUCUUACGGGUGGCGAGUGGCGGACGGGUGAGGAAUACAUCGGAAUCUACUUUUUCGUGGGGGAUAACGUAGGGAAACUUACGCUAAUACCGCAUACGACCUACGGGUGAAAGCAGGGGAUCUUCGGACCUUGCGCGAUUGAAUGAGCCGAUGUCGGAUUAGCUAGUUGGCGGGGUAAAGGCCCACCAAGGCGACGAUCCGUAGCUGGUCUGAGAGGAUGAUCAGCCACACUGGAACUGAGACACGGUCCAGACGCCUACGGGAGGCAGCAGUGGGGAAUAUUGGACAAUGGGCGCAAGCCUGAUCCAGCCAUACCGCGUGGGUGAAGAAGGCCUUCGGGUUGUAAAGCCCUUUUGUUGGGAAAGAAAAGCAGCAGGUUAAUACCCCGCUGUUCUGACGGUACCCAAAGAAUAAGCACCGGCUAACUUCGUG